AGCAGCCAGAUGGGCAUAAUGUCUAUUCUACAAAGACAGUGGACUAGUACUCAAAAUAUUCCCUGCUUUAAACAUUUUUUUACAAUAAAGGUGCCAAGCUACUUACCUGUGCCAUUUCCUCAACUUUGGAAGAUGUAUGGGCGCCCAGAGCAAAGCUGUCAUAUCUGUGAAAAGAAUUUAAAAAGCUGCUUUGAAGAUAAACACAAUCAAAUUUUACAAGGGAGUAAAUAGCCGGCUUGCUUCCUUUUAAUAUCCAGCAAGAAGCUUCCGAAAAUACUUUUUAUGAAGAGUCCACAGAGUUUGUCAUGUUAUUUCUCAAAUGCAUCUUACGAUAUAUUUUUUUCACCCAUCAGGUUGCUGGAAUCUGCAACUUGUUAAUGUUCCAAGUGAACAGCCAAGAAGGGACCUCAGAUUAAUGGCAUUUACGCUGCUGGAAUAUCAGUAAGCUACCAUUAAGCAGUAGAAUGAACACCUGUUGUGUAUAGCUCACCGUGGCUGCUGCCGAGUCUGGUGCUUUAAAGUGUGCUUCCUUGAUUUUUUGAAGGAGAAGAGUGACGCAAAAGGAGUUCUGAAUCCCAGAAUGGAAGAUAAUGAAAAUUUCACUUUUCUGUUGGAGGCACACUGCAGGAGUAUUACGAGCCAGAAAGUGAAACUGACUACAUCUGGGAUGCACACACUACGGGGAUUUCUGUAAAAGGCUGUAAUCCUGCAAAGGUUUAUUUAUCUAACAUCUUCAUGUCUGUCAAAUUAAGAAUGUGCAUAUUAUGUCUCCACAAAAUUAGUAUCUAAAUCUGAAAAUGUUUAUACUGAAUUUUUUUUAGAAGAACAAAAUAGUUUUUGUCAAUAGUGGAUUGGCAAAACAAUACAAGGGUUGGGUGUAGACUGGUAGAAAGUGUCCUUUUAACCUGUCACCUUUCAUUUUCUCUCAAUAUUUCUUUGUUUUUCCUUCUCUUAAUUUCUUCACAUGGUGGCACUAUUAUUUACUGCUUUUACAGCACUCAUAAUCAAACGAACAGUAAAGGGUGUUAGGGAUAAAGGUCACAACAAGAAGACUGCACAAUAUAUACAUUCAAUCUUUUGCCCUCUGAGGGCUGGAUCCAAAGCCCACUGAAGUCAAUGGAAAGACUCUUCCCACUGAUGCAAGGAAACGCCUCAAAAGUAAAGGUACAAAGGAUUUUCGGGAAUGAAACCCCUGACUCCGUAGAUCAGCCUCUCAACUCUAGUCCUCUGGCUCUCCUCUCUCUGGCUGGAUACCACUUUAAGGAGCUGGACUGUCAAUGGGCAGAGACCCACUCCUGCACAUAUCUUCCACAUGCACCCUAGAAUGCAGUUACUGCUAUUUUAAGUGGGAACAUCUUAAGGCAAGUCUACAUUACAAAAUUAAGUUGAGCUAAGUUACGUUGACCUACAGCCAUUGCAGUAAUUACAUCGCUUUUGCGUGUCCAUACUAUGCACCUUGUGUCGACGGUGCACAUCUUCACAAGGAGCGCAUGCACUGAUUUAACUGUCAUGGCGGGGCAUUGUGGGACAGCUUC